AAUGAUACUACUUUUAGUAUUAAUACUAAUACUUCUAUCAUGGUAGUAAUUACCAUAGUACUGUUAGGAGAAUGGCCAAUAGCCCUUGACCAUGGAAGGAAAGAUACAAAAAUAGUCAAUUUGCUUAUUAUGAGUAGAAGCACUUUUCAAUAG
rnacentral:rRNA from 1 species